UCCAACUGGAUGUUAUCACACAUUUCAGAAGUGCAAACCUCUACUGCCUUAAUUGCCCUCGUAACAAUGAGCAUGACCUGCCCCACACAAAUUGCCGCAUCUGACAUCAAAUUUCAAGGGACUUCCAAAAGUUUCCUUUUUUGCUGUUGAACUUGAUAGCGUGUAGAACCCUAAACUAAGGUUGCAAUUGCUUUCUUUAUCUGAAGUUGAUUAACAACAUACAUAACCUGUCCCACACAAUGAAAUGCAAGAAUGAGCUAAUACCACUAAUCCAAUCCAAGUACCCAAGGAGUUUGAAAAACCAACAAACAAACUUUAUAAAGAUCAAACAAACGACAAAAUAUAGAUAAAUCUAACCUGCAGCAAGCUUUGGAUGAAUCUUCCUCUGGACUUGUUGGCAAAUUGAGUCAUUAUCCGUGGAAGAGGAAAAAGGAAGAGACAGUAGAGAAGAAUGUGAGAAAGUUUAUUUACGUUAGUUGAAUGUGGAAGCUGAGAAGAAUGUGAAACACUUCCCUUGAAAUCCAUACCUGUCAUAGAGUCGAUCCUUCGUACUCUUUACUUUCAUCCCUUGCUCAUGCUGAUGUACCUUACAGGAUAUGUUGAACUGAAUCCUGUCGUGCACCCUGUUGAAAUUUUACUAUGAACUUAGUACAUCUUGUUUUGAAAAUACCAAACUCAAUACCUUCCUUCAGCUCACUGCACUUCUCUAUAUUUAUUGAGACUGUUUUACUGAUUUGUUGACAUCAAAAGCUCUUCCAUUAAACGUAAAUUUGCUCCUAAUUGUCCAUAGAAACCGGAUUGUAGAAUAAGGUAGAAUACACCACAUCUUAUGUUCAAGUUACCUGUUAAAAACAACAAACAUACAGCAAGUAAAACCUAAUCCUCCAAAAGCUUGACAUAAUAUAAAUCAAUUGGUUUUCUCAACAACUUAUCUGCAUGCAAGGUAAAUAGAGUGACGCUAUUUAUUCACAAUAGCACAAUCUAACUUGUAUAAACUUGCACAAUUUUUUUUGCUUAAAAAAACACAUUCUAUACUCUCUUUAUAUGGUGAGGUAAACAAAGCAAACUUACAAUUUAAACAAUAAAAAUUUCAAAUCAAUCACAUUUUUUCUUCAAGGGGGGUGGGGGGGGGGGAUCGAUGACAAUCAAAUCCCAUAAACAACAACAUAAAUGAAUGAAACUAAGUUGAAUACUCCGCACUAACCCAAACUUAAUCAGAACAUCAUGAUUAGAAGCAUAAUCAAUUUCCACUACCACCAAUUGGCUAUCUGUCAAUUUUAAAGCACCUUGAAAAGGCAUGCUUAUAACAAUGAUAAAUUUGGAUAAAAGACAGAAAUUUGAAUAUCUAAGAUUUUGAAAAUGUUACCAAGAAGCGAAAACUAAAUCCUGGCAAUCCUUACUAAUAUUAAUAAGUACAAAUACCAAUUCUCAAGCUAAAAACGCCAAAUUCAUGCUUUAGAAAUUAGCAUUCAAUAGAUAAUCUAUAUUCCAUGAUAAACCUAAAUAAAGCGUAUUUUUAAAUCAAUAAUGGCCAACACAAAUUUGGAAAAUGUUCAAUUUUAAGAAUUGGAAAGGUGAGAUGACAUUAAGGUUAGUCUUAAAGAAAAAAAUUAGUCAUUACAAACCUGUUUCUUCUUUAAAUCUGCAUCAUCCAUGAAGGUUUUUUUUUUUUUUUUUUUUAUUAGAAGGAUCAUCCAUGGAAGUUAAAAAACCCUUACAGCUCCAAAUGUGACCUGCAACUUGUAAGCAAGUUUUGAAAAUAAAAAUCUCUCCAUAGGAAAAGAAUAAAAAGAAGAAAAAAUCAACUCCAAAAUAUAAUACCAAUCCCCUAAGAACAGAAACAGCAAACCGAGAUCU
rnacentral:lncRNA from 1 species